AUCAGGGUGAUAUUGUUCUCAUAGAAAGAGUUUGGAAAUGCUCCCUCUUUUUCUAUUUCCUGAAAUAAAUCAAAGAGUAUUGGUAUUAGUUCUUCUUUAAAGGUCUUGUAGAAUUCGGCUGUGUAUCCAUCUGGUCCUGGGAUUUUCUUGGUGGUAGGCUUAUGAUGGCAUCUUCUAUUUAUCGUUUGAUAUCGGUCUGUUUAAAUUGUGUGUAUCAUCCUGAUUCAAUUUGGGCAAAUCAUAUGGCUUAAGAAUUAAAUAUCGACGCCUUUGACAUUUUCUAUUUUAUUGGAGUACAAGUUUUCAAAAUAAUUUCUAAUUAUCUAAGGUAAUGACUCUUUCCUCCUUGAAAUACUUUCUUCCCUCCAGGGACCUCACAGGCCAGGACCCCUUUCUCUGCCAAUCAUUCUCAAUCUCCUUUUAUGGCUUCUCCAUAGCUCCUACUCACUGAAACGAUGAAGGCCCCACAGCACUGACUUCAGUUCUCCCUUGGUGAUCUUGCCCAUUCUCCUGGCUUUAAAUGCAAUCCACACAUUAUGAAAACAGGUUAACCCAGCCUCUAUGUCAAACUCCAGACUCAUCCAUUCAACAGUCUCCUUGACAUCUUCAUUCAUACAUCAUCAAGUGUGUAAGAUUUAAACCUCACACAUGUCCCUGUAGGGGAGAAAAAAAAAAAUGGCUUUCCACCACCCUUUCAGUUUCCUCGUCUGGGCUGUUUCCUCGUCUGGGGCCCCAGCAAACUUCCAGCUGCCAGCAAAUUAGAUUGACACAAGAUAGAUUAAGAGGGGAAAGAUAUUCGAUUACAGAUGUACAUAUGGG
rnacentral:lncRNA from 1 species